rnacentral:tRNA from 1 species
AGGAGAAUAGUUAAUUAUAACAAUUAAAUUGCAAUUAAAAAUUACACUAAUAUGUUUCUCUUA